rnacentral:rRNA from 1 species
UUUGGUUAAGUUAGAAAGGGCGCACGGUGGAUGCCUUGACACUAGGAGUCGAUGAAGGACGGGACUAACGCCGAUAUGCUUCGGGGAGCUGUAAGUAAGCUUUGAUCCGAAGAUUUCCGAAUGGGGAAACCCACCAUACGUAAUGGUAUGGUAUCCUUAUCUGAAUACAUAGGGUAAGGAAGACAGAC